rnacentral:tRNA from 1 species
GCCCCUGUAGCUCAAUGGAUAGAGCAUGGGACUUCUAAGCCUGUGAUGUAGGUUCGAUUCCUACCGGGGGCA